GAAAGCAAGAACAGUCAUCAAUAGCAGACAGCAGAUGCAUUAAAGCAACACUGUCCACUCACUUCAUGCUCAGAAAAGAACACUUUAACUUCUCAUCGUGGUUAGCAAGAGUACAGUGAGAAGGCAGAUGCAGUUUUCUGGUUUCCUUUCAGACAGUUUUCCAGUGGUUUGAGAGAUCCUGCAUUCAUCAAAGAGGAGUAAGAGACUGGGAAAAUGUAGGAAAAAAGCUUCAGAAAUAUCCAAGCUCCCAUACACAAACAGUGUUGUGAAAGGUGGCAGUUAUUCAAACAGUGAAAAGAAGUGGGCUCUGUAGUGGCACAGUUGUCACAUUCUCACAAGAUGGCAUAUCCGGAAAACAAACUAUGCUGCAAGAAUCCCCAAGUAUGACGAACCAUUCACAAAACAACAACAAGAAACACAGAAAAAAAUGGACGGGUACAUUCAAUCUCACAAGCCACUCAACUCCGAACAAGCUUGAACAAUUUUCUCCUGAUAUUAUGAAAAGCAUAAUCAUUCAGAAAGUUCAUGAUAAUGGGUUUUGCACUGUUCUUGUUGGCAAAGCACACAGUUUUAAAGAAGAAGAAAUGACAGUCUGUGUGAGAGACACAGAAAAUCUGGAAAUAAAGGAACGACUUCUAGGAUGUAUCGAUUGCUUUGAGAAUGGGGAUACUGGUGCCCUCUAUCACAGCAUUCAACAUUUUUUACAAGCAUCGUGGACUGCAAACUUGCUGGUUGUGGCAUAGUGUUAUGAUGGGGCCACUGUAAUGGCAGGUUAUGUACCUGGAGUACUUCCAAAACUGCUGCAAGAUAAUCUCCACCCACCCCGCUAUAUAUAUAUACACUGCAUGGCUCAUGAAUUGUAUUUGGUUUUAUUUGAGGCAUACAAAGUAAGCAGGGCAGCAACACAAUUUUUUUGUUAUAGUCUAGAAGGCUUGUUUACCUUCUUUUCACAGCCGGGCACACAUCAUGCUUACUUGGAGGCCCAGAAAACGAUUGGAGUGAAACUGAAAUCGUACAGUUUAAGUGACACAAGAUGGUCAUCCAGAUGGAA